CCGAAGUAUCAUCAACAAAUUAUCCCAUACAAAGAACUGAAGAUCAAAAAUGUCUGGGCUUGUGGACAUGUGGAAUAGCGAGCUAGCCAAGCUGCGGAACAAGGGUCAAGAUGGCUCAGUCAAAACAAGUCACGAAAAGGAGGCUAGCCCAGUAGUUGAUGCAGAUGAAAGGAGCUCAACUCUCUGGCAGUCAGCCAGCUUGGCUAAAGCCAUGAAAGAUAAAGUGCAGCUAGCUUUGAAGUGUUCCGAGGCUUCAGUUUCUAUGCUCGUUGAAAGCUUUUGUCCUUGAACAAGAAAAAAAGUUGGGUUUUUGUAAUUUUGAAUCUUUUUCUUUUCAAUUAAAACUUGGAUGUACACGUUCAGCAUGAAGCGGAAAUGUAAGUUUGUUUUCGUCAAAUCACAGCUUAAAACCAAGUUUAGUUGGAAUUUUGGAAAAAACUAAAAAAGAAUGGAGGUGCGGGGAAUCGAAC
rnacentral:lncRNA from 1 species